rnacentral:rRNA from 1 species
UUGAAAAGUGAGCGGAUGAACUGAGGGUAGCGGAGAAAUUCCAAUCGAACCUGGAGAUAGCUGGUUCUCUCCGAAAUAGCUUUAGGGCUAGCCUCAAGUGAUGAUUAUUGGAGGUAGAGCACUGUUUGGACGAGGGGCCCCUCUCGGGUUACCGAAUUCAGACAAACUCCGAAUGCCAAUUAAUUUAACUUGGGAGUCAGAACAUGGGUGAUAAGGUCCGUGUUCGAAAGGGAAACAGCCCAGACCACCAGCUAAGGUCCCAAAAUAUAUGUUAAGUGGAAAAGGAUGUGGCGUUGCCCAGACAACUAGGAUGUUGGCUUAGAAGCAGCCAUCAUUUAAAGAGUGCGUAAUAGCUCACUAGUCGAGUGACACUGCGCCGAAAAUGUACCGGGGCUAAACAUAUUACCGAAGCUGUGGAUUGUCCUUUGGACAAUGGUAGGAGAGCGUUCUAAGG